rnacentral:lncRNA from 1 species
UUUCCUUUUAUCACAUGCAUAACAAAGUCUUACACUUUGACCAAGGUGUAAUGACUCAUCUGUAGGGCAAUCCAUUUAGUUACAUUUCGCAAUUAUUUUCAUCAUCAAUAAAGGACAGCUUUUGCAAACACUUUUGUGUUCUCUUUCUUUCAAUUAUUUUUACUUUUACAAAAACGAUAAUGUUUCUUUUUCAUGUUUCUUUUUCGUUUUUC